rnacentral:tRNA from 14 species
UGGCCCGUUGGUCAAGUGGUUAAGACACCGCCCUUUCACGGCGGUAACAUGGGUUCAAAUCCCGUACGGGUCAU